AUACGUAGGGGGCGAGCGUUGUCCGGAAUUACUGGGCGUAAAGGGCGUGUAGGCGGUCCGCUAAGUCAGGUGUGAAAUUCCUGGGCUCAACCCAGGACGUGCGCCUGAGACUGACGGACUUGAGUCCGGGAGAGGAUGGUGGAACUCCCAGUGUAGAGGUGAAAUUCGUAGAUAUUGGGAAGAACACCCGUGGCGAAGGCGGCCAUCUGGACCGGUACUGACGCUAAGGCGCGACAGCGUGGGGAGCAAACAGGA
rnacentral:rRNA from 1 species